rnacentral:rRNA from 1 species
UGUGCCAGCAGCCGCGGUAAUACAGAGGGUGCAAGCGUUAAUCGGAUUUACUGGGCGUAAAGCGCGCGUAGGUGGCCAAUUAAGUCAAAUGUGAAAUCCCCGAGCUUAACUUGGGAAUUGCAUUCGAUACUGGUUGGCUAGAGUAUGGGAGAGGAUGGUAGAAUUCCAGGUGUAGCGGUGAAAUGCGUAGAGAUCUGGAGGAAUACCGAUGGCGAAGGCAGCCAUCUGGCCUAAUACUGACACUGAGGUGCGAAAGCAUGGGGAGCAAACAGGAUUAGAUACCCUGGUAGUCCACGCCGUAAACGAUGA